rnacentral:rRNA from 1 species
CCUACGGGUGGCAGCAGUGGGGAAUAUUGGGCAAUGGGCGCAAGCCUGACCCAGCAACGCCGCGUGAAGGAAGAAGGCUCUCGGGUUGUAAACUUCUUUUCUCAGGGACGAAGCAAGUGACGGUACCUGAGGAAUAAGCCUCCGCUAACUACGUGGCAGCAGCCGCGGCAAUACGUAGGUGGCAAGAGUUAUCCGGAUGUACUGGGUGUAAAGGGCGUGUAGGCGGGAAAGCAAGUCAGAUGUGAAAGCCAUGGGCUCAACCUGUGGACUGCAUUUGAAACUGUUUUUCUUGAGUACUGGAGAGGCAGACGGAAUGCGUGGUGUAGCGGUGAAAUGCGUAGAUAUUAGGAAGAACCCCGGUGGCGAAGGCGGUCUGCUGGACAGCAACUGACGCUGAGGCGCGAAAGCGUGGGGAGCAAACAGGAUUAGAUACCCUUGUAGUC